AUGUCAAUCUCCUUACAUAUAUCAUGCAAUAUUUUUUUCUUUUUCAGGAAACAUAAGGAAUUCAUGAAUUGUGACACAGUUCUUAAGAGCCUAACCAAGUUGGCUAUGUCCUUCCCUGUGAGAAAACGGAGACACAGAAUGAUACAUUAUUUGUCCAAGUUUUCACAGUUAGAAGAGCUAUUCCAGGAAAUCAAUUAUAUUGGUAAGUUUGUUUAUCUGUUUUGGAGACAAAGACAUAAUAUACCCUGUCUUUCAUGGUGCACUUUUUUUUCAGAGAUCUCAUGUUAUGGGUAUUUUAUGCCUUUGUCUCCAGAUAAUAUGUUGCUUAUUAGUAUAUUUUUAAUAUUAACUUUUCCUCUAAUAAGGUGAAAUAUAUUCAGACUUGCGUUUGCAAAGAAGGCAUUGAGGUUUGGUAUUUGAAUAUGGUUAAAAGCCCUUUUCAAAUAAACAGCUUGAGAACAGGUUAGUAUAUUUCCUCACUGAAUUUUCAGUUAUUUCAUCUAGCAAGCCUCAAAUUCAUUUUUGUUUUUUUUUAAUUUAAUUUUUUUGAGACAGAGUCUCUCUUUGUUACCCAGGCUGGAGUGCAAUGGUGCAAUCUUGGCUCACUGCAACCUCCACCCACCAGAAUUCAAUGGAUUCUCCUGCCUCAGCCUCCGGAGUAGCUAGGAUUACAGGUGUGCACCACCAAGCCUAGCUAAUUUUUUUUUAUUUUUAUUUUAAGUAAAGACAAGAGUUUCACCAUGUUGGCCAGGCUGAUCUUGAAUUCCUGACCUCAAGUGAUCCACCUGUCUCUGCCUCCCAAAGUGCUGGGAUUACAGGCAUAAGCCACCAAGCCCGGCCAAGCCUCAUACAUUUAAUUAGAUAUUUUCACCCUUAUCCUUCUAGCUAUUCUUCCGACAUAUGAAAAACUAGAGUAAUUUUCAUUUACUAUCUUAAGAACUUUCCCUUUUCUAGGCCAGCCUGUAGCACCACAUUUACUGGGACUCUGCCACCCAGGGUGCAACACUUCAAAGUUUUAAUUUGUGUCAUUUUAUUGUCUGGAAGUUGUGCAUCAGGAGUUGAUUGUGUAGUUUUCUGGCUGGAGCAGCCCCUGGCUCUCUAAGCAAGGAGUUAUACAUUAAUGAGAGGCUGGCUGUGUAUUCCCACAUCUUUUCAGCUACAGGAUGUCAUUAUGUUUCAUGGGGUAAAACAUGGAAGAAAAAAUGUUUUCCACCUUAAUCUAUUUAUAGUUUCUCCCAACUUAUAUUUAGUAGAAAUUAUUUUCAUACAGCAUGAAUCCAAUGUAUGAUAAUAUUUGUCUUGUGAAUUUACCUUUUUCUUAAUGUCAUACAUAAUUUUAUGGAAAUUUAUAAGGCUCUUUGCCAGAAACUGUUUAAAUCAGACUACUCAUUCAUUAGGUUCAUUGAUUUUUCUAAAUGAGCUACCAGAGCAUUAUCUUAUGUAUUUCCCUUACUUACACGUUAUUGGUGAAGGAGAAGAAACUCAUUUUUGUCCUUUGAUCACUAACGUUAUUAUUUUACAAACUCAAUUACAUAAAAAAUAAAUAGGUAGAAAAGAAAUUUUUUAAUAGCAGCAUCUAAGUACACA
rnacentral:lncRNA from 1 species